rnacentral:rRNA from 1 species
GAUGAACGCUGGCGGCGUGCCUAAUACAUGCAAGUCGAGCGAACGGACGAGAAGCUUGCUUCUCUGAUGUUAGCGGCGGACGGGUGAGUAACACGUGGAUAACCUACCUAUAAGACUGGGAUAACUUCGGGAAACCGGAGCUAAUACCGGAUGAUCUUUUGAACCGCAUGGUUCAAAAGUGAAAGACGGUCUUGCUGUCACUUAUAGAUGGAUCCGCGCUGCAUUAGCUAGUUGGUAAGGUAACGGCUUACCAAGGCAACGAUGCAUAGCCGACCUGAGAGGGUGAUCGGCCACACUGGAACUGGGACACGGUCCAGACUCCUACGGGAGGCAGCAGUAGGGAAUCUUCCGCAAUGGGCGAAAGCCUGACGGAGCAACGCCGCGUGAGUGAUGAAGGUCUUCGGAUCGUAAAACUCUGUUAUUAGGGAAGAACAUAUGUGUAAGUAACUGUGCACAGCUUGACGGUACCUAAUCAGAAAGCCACGGCUAACUACGUG